AACGAACGCUGGCGGCAUGCCUAACACAUGCAAGUCGAACGAAGCCUUCGGGCUUAGUGGCGCACGGGUGCGUAACGCGUGGGAAUCUGCCCUUAGGUACGGAAUAACUCAGGGAAACUUGUGCUAAUACCGUUUGAUGUCGAGAGACCAAAGAUUUAUCGCCUAGGGAUGAGCCCGCGUAGGAUUAGCUAGUUGGUGGGGUAAAGGCCUACCAAGGCGACGAUCCUUAGCUGGUCUGAGAGGAUGAUCAGCCACACUGGGACUGAGACACGGCCCAGACUCCUACGGGAGGCAGCAGUGGGGAAUAUUGGACAAUGGGCGAAGACCUGAUCCAGCAAUAGCCGCGUGAGUG
rnacentral:rRNA from 1 species